rnacentral:lncRNA from 1 species
AGCCUAGGACAUGCCAAUCAGAAGGUCAGCGGUUGGAAUCCCCGUGACGGGGUGAGCUCCCGUUGCUCGGUCCCUGCUCCUGCCAACCUAGCAGUUCAAAAGCACAUCAAAGUGCAAGUAGAUAAAUAGGUGCCGCUCUGGCGGGAAGGUAAACGGCGUUUCCAUGCACUGCUCUGAUUCGCCAGAAGUGGCUCAGUCAUGCUGGCCACAUGACCCGGAAGCUGUAUGCUGGCUCCCUUGGCCAAUAAAGUGAGAUGAGCGCCGCAACCCCAGAGCUGGUCACGACUGGACCCUUUACCUUUACCUUUACCUAGUCAACCUUCUGAGUAGUGGCACCCGCCCUGUGAAAUGCCUUCCCACCAGAUGUCAGAGCAAAACAACUACCAGACUUUUAGAAGACAUCUGAAGGCAGCCCUGUUUAAGGAAGCUUUUAACGUUUGACAGACUAUUGUAUUUUAAUAUUUUGUUGGAAGCCUCCCAGAGUGGCUAUGGAAACCCAGCCAGAUGGGUGGGGUAUAAAUUAUUAUUAUUAUUAAUCAUAAUAACAAUACCUACCACCCACUAAUGCAUCUUUCUUCUUAGUAGUCCUACACUUGAGUAGGACCCUUGCAGACACACAUGCCUGACUGGCAUGUUCUCUCCCUCUUGGCUGAUCGUUCGGAAGCGUCAAAAGCUUUCUUCUGCCCAAACAUCACAGCGACUGAUGGCAACAGACAUCAGCACACUUAGGGAUCCACAGAGUGUUUUCAGCUUGCGUAACAGAACCCAGCAACUCAGCAUUUUGGCUAAUCUACUUUAUUUACAUAUAAAAACACAUGGAGAACUGCAACAUGGCUCCCUCUCUCUCUAGCAUCAGACAGCAAAGAGCAAAAGAACAAAGGACAAUAGUCCCACUUCACAGAACACAAACAUCCUAUCUCUGUCACUUCCCACACUGUGGAGACAAAACAUACACCAUCAUUUGAUAGACAACAAUCCCAUGACUGCAAUCACGGAGCAGGAAUUCUAACACCGCCCACCAGUGCUCAAUGGAAGGAGGAUUCAGCUUGUGCUGUAGAACCCCCCUACUCCCCACCUAGAAUCCUGAAACACCCACUAGUGAGCGGUAGGGACCAGGUUGACAACCCCUGGAUUAAGAUCUACCUUCGAGAGAGAGUCAGUGUGGUGUAGUGGUUAAGAGCGAUAGACUCGUAAUCUGGUGAACAAGGUUUGCGUCUCCGCUCCUCCACAUGCAGCUGCUGGGUGACCUUGGGCUAGUCACACUUCUUUGAAGUCUCUCAGCCCCACUCACCUCUCAGAGUGUUUGUUGUGGGAGAGGAAGAGAAAGGAGAAUGUUAGCUGCUUUGAGACUCCUUCAGGUAGUGAUAAAGUGGGAUAUCAAAUCCAAACUCUUCUUCUUCUUCUUCUUCUUCUUCUUCUUCUUCUUCUUCUUCUUCUGAGGGCUCUGUGUUUUCUUUACUCUUUCUCUCUCUGUUUUUGUUUCUAUUUGGAUUAGUUUCUUUUAUCUUGUGUUAUGAAAAGGUUUUAAUAAAAUCUAUUUUUUUAAAGAAGGAGGAGGAGGAGGAGGAGGAGGAGGAGGAGGAGGAGGAGGGGAGCAAUAGUCCAGUCACAUCAGGAAGGCCACACAUUGCCCAUUCGUGACUUAAUCAUAAGCAUGGUAAUUUGUGACUCCUCACUGCAUUCUGCAAAGCAGGAAAUGUAGCCAAUUUGGGAAUGCGGAAAAAUAUAAACAACUUCAAACUCAUUUUUUUAUAUAAAAAAACCCUAGCAAUAACCCCCCCUGCUGAUAGCACAGCCUCCCAUUUUCCCCUAGAUAAUCUGUAUUUAAUUCUGCACUUCACCUCUUUCCUGACCUUUGGAUAUAUUCCUCAUGACUACCAAUCAAAACACUCCAUAAAUUAGAAAUUCUCUUAGAUCUUGCUGGAGCCUUAAUCAUUUUACAUUUCCAAAAUAUUCAGCCGAGGCUCUUGCGGUUAGCUGAUUUACCAAAAUCACAUGAAGAUAAUGUUUGCAUACUUAAAGUGGAGAAAUCAGCAGAAAUGACAAGCUGAAUUAUCCCGUUUUUCCCCCUUGCAGUUGAAAAUACAUGAAUAUUUCAUUUGAAAAGAUGCACCUCAUCACACACCCCUUUCCCCCCACUUGCAAAGUUUAAGAAAAGCUGAGCUAAUUAUGCUGUAUAUUCUACAGUUAAGAAGUAACUGUGACUGAGUUUAAGAAAGAGUUGAUAUUCAGAAGCUGUAAGGAGUGAGAUAAUGAGAAAUAUGAUAAUGAUAAUUAAAGCCUCAAUGCACAGCUUUCCUACUUUGGAGCAAUCACAUUGUUUUUAAUAGCAUUACUUUAGUGAAGCAGGAGGGGAGCAUAUUCUUGAAGACCACUCGGUUCUUUAGACAGUGAUUCAGGGAGGCAGAAGAGAAAUUUGCGGUGGCUGAAUCCCAUUCCAUUCAUCCAGAAUCUGUAGUAAACUGAGGGGAAUUGUGUGUUGGCCAAAUGUUCACAAAAUGGAGCAACACAGGUGUAGCCAGGUAUUUUAAGUGAGUUUUGUGGAUACCUGAAACUCAGAAUGGAAGGCUCAUCAGACCCAAAAACGACCUAUCCUGGAGAAAUUUUGAGGAAGAGAUGUCCAACUGCAUACCUUCCAAGUGUCCCUAUUUUCUAGGGACAGUGCCGGACUUACAAAAGCCAUCCUGACUUCUGGUUAGACCCCAGAAUGUCCCUAUUUCGCCCCCCAACCCUACAGCCACUGAGCUCGGGGAGGAGGAGAGGCUACCACUUCUGCUGAGCGGAAGAGGCAGUGGCAGCUGCAAGGGAGCAGCCUAUUGCCUCUCCAUGUCCUCUCCAUGGCCGCCGCCACUGGCCUCUUCCCUUGGGCAGCUCAUAGCAGCUGCUGGACAGCAGGCAAGGAGGAAGAGAGGCUGCCACCACCCAGUGGGGGAGUACUGUCAAAAGUGGGUGCAGGAGUCAGGCCCUGUGACCAGUAGGGCUUCGCAGGACUGGGGCCUUCCUAAAUUUAUUCUGGAGAGGCAAGGUGCGGCCGCACAGGUGAGGCCGAUUGGUAACUCACAGCACCUGGUGCCUAGAGCCAGAAGGGAUAUAAGGUCAGCAUUUCCCUUCGGUUCUUUGCCACGGCAACACGUUUCCUGCCUUGUUGUGUUUGGCUUCUUGCUUCCUGAUCCUCGGGCCCUUGACUCCUUGCUUCUCGGCCCUUGGCUUUGUAACUCCUUGCUUCUGUGCCCUUGGACCCUUGAAUACUGACUCCUUUCUUCUUGACCGUCAGACCCUUGACUUCCUGACUCCUUUCUUCUUGACCCUUGGACCCUUGACUUCGUGACUCCCUGCUUCCUGACCCUCGGACCCGUGGCUUCUGGAUUCUCGUUCCUGCUCCCACCCCUCCAUCUUGCCCCCGGUCCCGACGUCCUCAGCCGGGACUUUGAUCGCCCAUAGACCAAACCGUGACAGGGAGCUUCAUGCUCCGGCACCAGGGGGCAGAGAGGAGGCGGGGGCGGGGCUGGCCCAUGUCCUGGGGGCGUGGUGCCCAGCGUGGGCGGGGAGGCAGCCACGAUGGCACCCCACCGGGAUUGUGCUGCCGGGGCAGUGCACUCCCCCCACACUGCUCUUCCUCCACCAGUGCCACCAUCAAGGCACAGACUCAUGUGAGGCACCAGCUCUGAGGGGCAGGCAGAGGGCAGGGCUGCCCUGGGCAGGAAGAGAAGUGGGGCCAAAUUCAAGGAGCCUUGAAUUUAAAGAAGAAAUGCUCUGUACAUCUGCAUCCAAUCUUGCCCCUUUUCUAAAAUUUAUUUAUUGGUGUGUGUCUUUUUCUUUUUGUAAACCUACUGAAGAAUAACAUAAAAUAAAACCGGGAUUAAGGGUUUUUCUCAGGACGGUAGAGGGUGGAUGUGCUGUGUCCCGUUAGUGUCAUUGUGGUGGCACUCUCACUUUUUCUGAUAGGAAAUGCUCUGCAGGACGGGGACAAAGAUGGGAGGUCAAGGAGGGUCAGCUGAGCAAGUGAGAAAUGCCCCUAUUUUCACCUGAGGAGUGUUGGAAGGUAUGCAACUGAGAGCUAUAGAUAAAAACUUGGGGGGAGUGUUGUUGAUUGUUCUUGUUUUUAUUUUGAUUAUGUAUUUUGUGUUUUUACGUUGUGGUAGAUUACUGAGGACUGCCUGGCAUGCUCUGGUCCAUGGAGUCAUGAAGAGUCGGACACGACUAAACAACAACAACAAGAUUACUGUAAUGUGUUAUAUGCAGGGCUUCCCUUGAAGAUGAACCAGAAGAUUCCAUUAGUUCAGAAUUGAAUUGCUAGGCUGCUUAAUCCAGAUCAGGAACAGGUAAUCAGAUGCUGUUGAAAAACAGCUGCCAUCAUCCCCAGCCAUUGCCAUUCUGGCUGAGGCUGAUGGGAGUUGGCAUUCAACAACAGCCCUCUGCUCAUAUGCAAUUUCCAGCACCUGAAUUAGGUUUCAUUUUCAGGUCAGAAAGGAGAGAGGCAGGUUUUUCACCUGCCCCUAUAAAAACCCUACAAACUUUUUGCUAAGUUUGGAAACUUGUUCUUCCAGAUCCUCACAACUUUUGGGCUUUCUUCACUUGCUACCUGACCAUUGGGCACAGGUGCUGCCUGAAAGAACCGAUACUGAGGUCUCUCACAAUGCCACAAAGUCUUCUAAGGUUAAAGGAACCUGUGUCACAAGCUGUGUGGGGCCGGAAACCUUCUUAUCCCUUUCUUACAACUUCAUGCUCACUGUGACGAUAUUUGAUGCUAAAACUGUUCUGCUGGCACAAAACGUACAUUUGAAGAUUGAGCGGCUGCCAUUUGUCAAGGUCUCUGUUUCAUUGCAAAGUUAUGGGAAGGUGACCUGCUUUAGGUCUUAUCUCCACAUUUGUGCUUGCUUAGAGGAGAUGUGCUCUUUCUAGUGCUGUGCUGGAAAAUUCUCCUGCAUUUCCUCCAUGACCAACAUUGCCAUUCUCCAUCUAUAUAUCUCUUUAUUACAGUCAAUGGCCAGUAUUCAAAGAGAAACUGUGUCCAAAUAUCUGAAAUAGUACCAAACAGAAGAAAAUAGAGAACCGAAACAAUAAAAUUACUAGUUCUCUGUGUCAUGCUACAGAACACCAGGCCUACAAAGCAAAAUUAAGUUUGCUGAAAUCAGUGGCCUGUGAGUUUUAAAUGCAGCAGCAGACUAGCCACUCUUGAGAAGGUGGUGCAUUAUGAUCUGAAAGGAGUGAAAAAGCAUAAAAUGCAUAUAGUCAUCGUGGGAAUUUUUGUAGAAAGCAUUUAGUAAUAAAUAUGUAUAUCAUGAUAAAAGGAACAGUAUAUAAUCAUGUAAGUUAUUGAUUCAAACUCCUCAGAUUCGCAAGGUCAUUGAUGUUGAUAAGAGGAGGUCUAUUUUUGGGAACCUCCACUGAUGGAAGAACAUUUAAAUGCACUGGAGUAAAGGCUAUACAGUGGUACCGCAGGUUAAGAACUUAAUUUGUUCUGGAGGUCUGUUCUUAACCUGAAACUGUUCUUAACCUGAGGUACCACUUUAGCUAAUGAGGCCUCCCGCUGCCGCUGCUGCACAAUUUCUGUUCUCAUCCUGAAGCAAAGUUCUUAACCCGAGUUACUAUUUCUGGGUUAGCAGAGUCUGUAAUCUGAAGCGUCUGUAACCUGAGAUACCACUGUACAGUGGACGCUUGGGUUGUGAAUGUGAUCCAUGCAGGAUGCACGUUCACAACCCACAGCAUUCGCAACCCGCAGUGGCGCAUCUGCACAUGCGCGGGUUACGAUUCAGUGCUUCUGUGCAUGCGCAAAGUGCAAUUUAGUGCUUCUGCGCAUGCGCGGCCCCCGAAACCCAGAAGUAACCCAUUCCGGUACUUUCGGGUUUCGGCUGGUCCAUAACCCGAAAAACGCAAGCUGAAGCAGCUGUAACCUGAGGUAUGACUGUACAAUGUUUCUGAAUAGAAAGCACAAAUUAAUCAAUUAAUGUAUGUGAUGGUUGUGCUCUGCCUCCACUGUUGGAGGUACCAGUACCAGUUGAUGGAAACCACAGGAAGGGAGAGAGCUCUUGUGCUCAAAUCCUGCCUACAGGUUCCCCAUGGCAGUUGGUUAGAGCAUGGUGCUGAUAAUGCCUUCCGACUACAAUUCUAUGAUCUAUGUGAUCUAAUUGACCACUGUGAUGGGCCUAUACGUUAUCCAAGAUGGGCCAUUGGCCUGAUCCAACAGGCAUGUUCUUAUGUUCUUGUGUUCUUAAUGGGGAAAGGUAGCUGCAAAAAGCAGCAAUGCCAUAUUGUUCCUGCUGAUGUGUUUUCACUGCAAUGACCUCACAGCUACCUUUCCCCGCUUUCUAUACCUCUCAGGAGGAAGAAGAAGAAGAAGAAGAAGUAGAAGAAGAAGUUUGGACUUGAUAUCCCACCUUUCACUCCCCUUAAUAAUAAUAAUAAUAAUAGUUUAUUAUUUAUACCCCGCCCAUCUGGCUGGACUUCCCCAGCCACUCUGGGCGGCUUCCAAAAGAAUAUUAAAAUACUAUAAUACAUCAAACAUUAAAAGCUUCCCGAAACAGGGCUGCCUUCAGAUGUCUUCUAAAAGCCUGGUAGUUGUUGUUCUCUUUGACAUCUGGUGGGAGGGUGUUCCACAGGGAAGGAGCCACUACCGAGAAGGCCCUCUGCCUGGUUCCCUGUAACUUGGCUUCUCGCAGUGAGGGAACUGCCAGAAGGCCCUCGGUGCUGGACCUCAGUGUCCGGGUAGAACGAUGGGGGUGGAGACGCUCCUUCAGAUAUACUGGACCAAGGCCGUUUAGGGCUUUAAAGGUCAGCACCAACACUUUGAAUUGUGCUCGGAAACGUACUGGGAGCCAAUGUAGGUCUUUCAAGACCGGUGUUAUGUGGUCUCUGCGGCCGCUCCCAGUCACCAGUCUAGCUGCCGCGUUCUGGAUUAGUUGUAGUUGUAGUUUCCGGGUCACCUUCAAAGGUAGCCCCACGUUUGAGACUCCUUAAAGAGUCUCAAAGUGGCUAACAAUCUCCUUUCCCUUCCUCCUCCACAACAAACACUCUGUGAGGUGAGUGAGGCUGAGAGACUUCAAAGAAGUGUGACUGGCCCAAGGUCACCCAGCAGCUGCAUGUGGAGGAGCAGGGAAUCGAACGCUGUUCACCAGAUUACGAGUCCACCGCUCUUAACCACUACACCACGCUGGCUCUGCAAUGCAACCAACCAGAGGUUAGAUGAGCAGAGAUUGCCCACCACUCCAUGCAUUCCUGCUGUGAACUAUGGGGCACCUUAACGUUUAACCUCGAACAAAUUGCAUCAUAAACAUUUCUUACACAAAAACACUCCGGAAGAUGUGCUCUAUCACGGAUGCUUUAGCUGAGAUGGCUGCAUUUGCAGGGGGUUGGAGUAGAUGACCUGUGAUUCCAUGUAUGUGAAAUGUUCCCCUGAAACCGGAGCCCAGGAAAUUCGUCUGCCUCUUUGAAACAUGCCUUCAUUGCUUUCCCCCCUCACUCUUCUAUGCAUACAACUCAAUAUCUCUUGAUAUAAUUAAGACAGAAGAAUGAAUCACAGACAAUCUGGAAGAGCAUGUCUCGCACUUCAGGUCGAUGCAUAAUGCUUUGAAAUUUAUCCAAUUUAUUCUCUCUCAGAAAAUUAAGUCUCCAUCGCACCUUUGCUCGUGGCAAAUGUUCAGGAGCCGACUCCCCAGAUCCAAAUAACAUGUCUGAUAUUGAGGAACGUAAAUGUGAUGGAGAUGAAUGAGGAUAACAGAGACAAUGGCAUAUUGUACUAGGCAGCUCCAGUGGAGAUAUCAGUAUUUAUAUUCCUAACAAAACAGGAACAUGACUACUUUAAUAUAAAAAAUGGUCAAGCCAGGAGUUUAAAUAAUGAUUUGAAAACAACUUGGAGACAAUUCAGCUGCAAUUAUGCCCUUUAGAGUAGGGAUAUGGGAGAAAUUGAGUUUGUGAAAAUCCUAUUAGCACUUCUCAAAGGAAUACAUGGACCAAAAUGCAGCCAUCCUUUGGAAUUCACACUUCCCUGGGUUGUCUGGGGCAAAAUACAUGUAUAUUAUGGGAAACUAAGCAUGAAAAACCUUGCAUUAGUGAAAAUAGCAUGCAAAAUGCAUUGAAUUAGGGGAAAUUGCUUUAAAAUGUGUCCAUUAUGCAGAAUCACAUACACAAAUGUGUUUGUUAGGAGAAAUGAGAUGCUGAUGAAUUUUCAUAAUGAAUUGUAAAAAAGAAAAACAAAAAACAAACUGAUGCAGAGAUGUGGUGAACUGCGAAUUUAGGACUGGGAAAAUGAGACAGUGUAAUUGACAGAUAGGUCCAUCCUUCCUUUCAAGUAGCAUUUGUUUUCAAUGAGCAAAAUUUAAGCAUGUGCACGCUUGGCUUUCCUCUCCCUGCACAUAUCCCUAUAUCUGUUGCGGUUUGCCCCAACCACCCAGAGCAGAUUUGGGGAUGGUGUGGGGCAUGGCUGCCCUGCUGUUAUCUUUUCAUUCAGCAGCCUAACAGCCCUCGGAUAGAAGCUGUUCUUUACCCUGUUGGUGCCACUAAUCAUGCUUCUGUAUCUUCUGCCUGAGGGCAGGAGAUCAAGAAAGUGCCGGCCAGGGUGUGAAUCAUCCCUGAGAAUUUUCCUCACUCUCCUGAGGCAACGUUCUUCCACAAUGUCAUCCAGCAGAUUCACGGGACAGCCCAUAAUAUCUGGUGCUGUAUUCACCACCCUCUUUAGGCACUUCCUAUCAGUUGAUGUCAAACCAGCGUACCACACCGUGAUGCAGUAUGAAAGGACAUUUUCUAUUGUGGACCGGUAGAAGGAGAUCAUCAAAUGUUGAUUGACAUCGUUCUUUCGCAAUACUCUGAGGAGAUGGAGUUAACACAUUAGAACCAUCCAUGUGAAUUAGAUUGUAUUAAGUUUUUUCUUUGUUUCACAGUUGGCAAAUCUCUGCCCACCACUCCCUGAAAUGUGCUGAGCCUCCUUUUUCUCUCCUUCCACUAUCCAUGAAAACCCACCGCUCUGUUAUAUUUACAACCCAUCUAAUGGGGUUACUCAAGAUGGGGACAGGGUGAAGCAUUUGAUGUGGAGCUGAUAGUUCCCACAAGCCAUCUUAGUCAUCAUUUGUGAGCUUUAUAAACAGCAUCACCUUUGCAGCUAUUCCUUAAUUUAUGUUUUGGCUGCCACUAAUUGGUGUCUCACUGGGGGAUUUUUCUAAACCAGCUGGGUGACCAUAUGGAGAGGGCCAUUUUUAUUUUUAUUUUUAUUUUUAAAAAAAUUACAAGCCCUGCUGUUUAUAUACAUGGAAAACUAAGUACCUAGGGAAAUAAAACAUUUCUCGCUAUAUUUUGCAAGGGGAGUCAAAACAGAUGAAGGGAAGGAAGGAUUUUGUCAGAUUUCAUAGAUGGCAUUUUCACUACAUGAUGUUUAAAUAGCCCUCUGUCUUGCUGCUUAUGUGAACAUGGGAUCAUUGUGCAGGACAGGAAAACAGAGUAGUGGAACUGGUGAUAUAAACUGUGAUUGGUUGGUUGGUUGAUUGAUAGCAUUUUUGCUCCUCUCUUCAGCCAAAGAGGUUCUCAGAGAGGCUUAAGUAGUUUAACAGGGAAUACAAGUCCUGCCCUCAGGCUUACAAUUUAAAAGAUAUGGCAGUGAAGGAAAAAGGAAUGAGGAGGGAAAAGGAGAGGAGAGGAGAGAAAGCAAGCUCAGGCUUUUAAUAUUAUGGUUCUGAAUACUGACCAGCUGGGAUGGAAUUAGUUCAGGUAGAAUGAUAGAAUGGCCACCUCUAGGCGAUAGCCAAAGCAGUUAAUCUCUCUGCAGAGGCAAUGAAAUAGCCCUGCUUUGCUUUCAUCCCUCCACUCUGCAGCUUGGUGGAAUGGCUACCACUAUCCCAUAGCAAGCCCUGUUAUUUUUGUUCGUCAUUUAUUUGCCAAGAAGACCGUUUUAACAAGGAUGGGAAGGAAGGAGGGGGAGGGGGAACGGCAAUGAGAUCCAUACGACCCAUGUGUGGGUUAAUUAACAAAAGAAUUUGCUGAACGCCUAGAUUCAAAUCAUAGAGUUAAACAGCAGUAUACUGUUGGAAUAUGGGUUAUUGUUAUACCCUUUUUCAUAUCCCAUUUUUAAUCUCCUUACAGCUCUUGCCCUUCUCUGCACCCCUCUGGCAAUGAGCAGACCACACACGGUUAAGUAAGUUUAAAACACUUUACUUACAGAAUCCAAAGGUCUGAUUCAUAUGUCGUUCCACGCAGCAGCACAGAGAACAGAGGCAGAAGACUAUUGGGUGCAAAAUAUGGUAAGAUAGUUUCAAGCAUGCAGUCUGAACUUGGAGCAAGUUCAGACACAUCUUUCCUGGUCGAUUGCAUGGCAUGAAGAGAGUGGGAGAAAGGAAUAGAAGAUGCUUCACUUCCUCCCUUGUCGGAGCAGAGGGGGUGUAACCUAACAGAGUCUAGGAACACAGCUCUGUAAUGUGUGUGUGUUAAUGUAGGAGAGGGGGAUGCAAUCCCAUGUGCGGUAUAGCGGGCCAAGAAUACUUCCUAAGAACACCAGAACUCCGAGUUGGAAGGGGGAAGGGGGGGAAUCAUAAAACCAAUCAGCAAAACAGCAGGAAGGAAAGCUUUGCCAAGCUCCCUCGCCAAUUACUCUUCUGCCCGUGAAGUGCCAGAAGUUGGUGUGGAAUAACUCAAGCCUUAAUACUAUUGCUUUGUCCUCAAUUAAAGGUGCUGAGUUUCACAUCCUGGUUUGGCAGGCUGAAAGGGCGGAAGGAGGGCAAAAAUGCAGAGAGAGGCAAAUGUGGACAGAGAUGGCCCUACCAAUAGGCAGAGUGCAGAAGCUGGUGCCUGGAAGGGAUGGCAGCAGUGGCAGAGCCCUGACUGGACCCUUCUUCUGGAAGGCUGGCCAAUUUUUGUCAUGUGGCCUGUCCCACACCUCUAUAAUUCCCCUCAGGUGUGAUGGGGGACAUGGUCUCUUUGCUAGUCCAGUUGUUUUCUGAAUGUGGAAUGUGAAGUGAGGCAGGAGUUGAUAAUGCAGGCAGGAGUUGAUAAUGCAGGUGAGCUUCACACAGGUGAGCUGCAAGCAAGCUGCCAGCCAGCUCUGUGGAGGCUCCUUUUAUUGACACAAUAUGCAAACCCAGGCAGAUACAUUUUGGAUUGUGACCUUUACACAUCUUCCAGUCCCAAGAUUGUGGGGUGGUACAAAGCUAUUUUGGCACCUGUUUCCACUGCGUCAUUUUCCUCUUGCAGUGUAUGACGAAGGAGACAAAGGUCUCAGAGACAAAGGUUACAGACAGGACACCGCAGACUACUGAGACUGCAAAAGGUUAGACAGAGGGCAAGAUGUUCAGACAGCUGUGGCUUUAUCUAUGAGGGGGAAUCAUAGAAUCAUAGAAUCAAAGAGUUGGAAGAGACCACAAGGGCCAUCGAGUCCAACCCCCUGCCAAGCAGGAAACACCAUCAGAGCACUCCUGACAUAUGGGGAGUGUGCCCCGCACCCCAAGAUCACGCGUGCAGGCAGCUGAGGCUGCCUGCGGGUGGGAAGUGUGCUCCGCACCCAGCGAUCAUCCCUACAGAAUGUUGGGCAGGGGAAAAUCAUCUUGUCUUCUACUCAAACAGCGACACACAUUGCUCUAACAGCCAUGACUUCACCCCCAAGGAAUCUUGGGAACUAAUUUGUCAAGGGCGCUGAGAAUCAUUAGGAGAACCCUAUUUCCCUCACAGAGCCCCAGAGUUCAUGGGAAGUGGGAUUGACUGUCAAAACACUCCAGAGGCGCCAUUUUGUGUCCAUGAUUUGGGGGGAUGGCAGUGUGUGUCAUGUGUGUUUGGCAUUGUGUGCCCAGAGUGCAUCCGACGUGUGAGACUUCAUGUGCCCAGCACAUAUCCCAUGCCUGUGACAUCAUGAGCCUGGUGCGCAUGAUGUCACAUCGGUGGGAGGAGGCCAAGCACAGCCCCCAUCUUGGUGUGACUUCCUCUCUCCAGUGUAGUGUAGUGGUUAACAGUGUGUUUGUUGUGGGGGAGGAAGGGAAAGGAGAAUGUUAGCCGCUUUGAGACUCCUUAGGGUGGUGAUAAAGUGGGAUAUCAAAUCCAAACUACUACUACUACUACUACUACUACUCUUCUUCUUCUUCUUCUUCUUCUUCUUCUUCUUGCGCUCAGGAGGUGCCAGCUACUGAAUCAUGCCAUGCUCGGCCCCCUCUGCCCCCUCAACAUUCAGGGGCCCAGUUCCCUGCCAGCAAAUAUUGAGGGGGCCAAAGGCCCCUCCACCCCUAGGAGUUGGCGUCCCUGAACCACUCUGAUAAGUGUAGCUCUCUGAACCCUUAACAAAUUAUUCUUUUGGAGAAGCCAGGACUCAUAAAAUGGUAUAACACUUCAUAAGUGUAUGAUGCAAAUGUGUCAUAUGGGUCUGACUGUAGGGGCUGGCUCUUGUCACAGAAAAUGCUGCAAAGGACCCAUAACAAAGAGGGAAGCAUUUUGUUCUGGAGUGGACUUUUAAGAGUCUGCCAGAUGUUUUCUAAGACAUUAAUCCAUGCUGGUUUGCGGAUUUGUCUCCCCACUUCCUUAUGGUAGGGCCACGGUGAAUCAAUGCAAGUUCCUUAGUUUGUCUGUAAGGGGGAAGGGACGGUCUCUUGUAAAUAUCAAACAAUACUCUUAUUUGCUUGAUUUGUUUGAUCAGGCUUUGCUCCCUAUUAAAAUAUGGUAAUGGGUCUGAAAUCUGAGAGAUAUUGUAUAACGAUUAUGAAUGCUAUUUAUUCAUUAACACUCUAAACUGGGUUUGUGGGAUUUUAAGGGCGAGUGGAUUUGUUGGUGUGCUGGGAUAUUUGAUGAGGAGUGUUGUGAAGGGAGUUCAGGAGGCUCCUGAUUUCUUUCGGAAUGGGGAGAUGAGCUGAGCAGUGAUCCCUGGAGGUUGACCACUAAGGAAAAGCAACAGUCCAACAGAGAGCAAAAGGGAAGCCGGGAGACUUGUGUCUGGUUCUGAACACCACGUUUUAAGAAAGGCGUUGGCAAAUGGGAGCACAACUGGAGGAAGGCAAUGAGAAUGGUGAGGAAUCUGGAAACUGAGCCUGUAGGAGGCCAUUGAAAGAGCUAGGUGUGUUUAACCUGGGAAAGCACAGCUAAAGUAGGGGGGACAUGACAGCUGUCCUCAAAUUGCAUCUUCAUGUUAGACACUCUCACCCAUAGGAGGCAGUGAUGGCCACCAACAUGGAUGGAUCAUAGAACUGUAGAACUGGGAGGAAUCCCGGUGGUCCUCUAGUCUAAUCCCCUGCAACGUGGGAAUUUCAACUAGAUCAUACAUGGUAAGUGGUGUGAUGGCCUGGGACUCGGGCUCAGACUUGGAACCAGAGGAGUCUCAGUCUGCACCGGAUCCUUUGCCUCAGGCAUCAUCUGAACCAAGUCUGGGGCCUGAUCCUGAAGAGUCCCAGUCUGCACAGGUUCCCCUGCAACAAAACCAGCUGGGCCGAGUCAGGGUCCUGAGCCUGCCCUGGCUCCAGAUGUGGGGAUUACCUUGCUGCCUUCAGCUGGGCCAUCACUUACAGCUGCUCCACUACCGGUUGGGUCAGGGGAGGCUGAGGCGGCCCCUGGGUCUAGUAACCCACUGACGUCUCCCGAGCUGCAGAGACUAAGGUCUGAGAGAAGGAGAGACCUGAGUACUCACGGAAGGAGUGCUCGCCUUCAAGCAAAACAGGGAGGUGAGUCGCUGGGGGAUCAGGACUGGCCACUACCCCGACAAAGAUAAAGGGCUGUCGGACCCCGCCCCAGGUUGCGGGAGCAAAAUUACUGUAUGCCAGAUCCUGCCUGAGAUCCUGUACCUGUCCUUGCCUGGUUUCCUGCCUCGUGUCCUGUCUUGAUCCUGUCGGACUGACUCCUAGCGGAACCUUCGGAUUCUGGACCGGACCUGGACCACUGUUCUUGGGUUACCCCCGGGCCCAGCACAGGUGGCCUUCCAACCUCUGCUUAAAAACCUGUUCUACUGUUGAACAGCUCAUGUACUGUCAGAAAGAAAUUCCUGGAGGAUAAAGCUAUGAGUGGCUACUAGUCAUGAUGGCUCUGAUCUGCUUCCACAGUCAUGCAGUAAUGAAUACCAGCUGCUGCAAAUCAUGGCAGAAGAGAGUGCUUGGGUUUGUUUAUUUCUUUAUUUUGUAGGGGCUCUGUGGGGCUCAAGAAGCAGAUACUCUGAGUCAGAGGAUGGUGACCAUGCUGUGUCUUCUUUGGGGGGAAAGCAUGAAGCUCCUUCUUGGCAGUGUUGUCCAUUGCACAUGUCAAGAUCCCUGGACCAUGACACCUCCCGUAUCUAUACUCUCAGCCUUUGCAAAUUUCAGGAUGACUCCUUAACGCAAAGCUCUUCCAAGAAGCAUCUGCCACCUUUAAGUUUCAAACUGGUGAGCCUGUUGGCAUAAGGGAAUAAGGUGAACACAUUUGAGAAAGACGUUACGCCAAACAAUAACCCCACUGCCCCAUAUUCCCCAUAGUGAAUCUAACCUAUCAGAAAUCCCAGUAAUUAGGUGACAAUUAGAACCCAACACUGUCCAGAAUUUCUGCAUAGUUCAAAGCCUCCCAUUUAUUGUACUUUUGAAGUACUUUGAUCUUGAGAGAUCUUCAUCACUUAUAAAUGAACCAGUCAUUAAUGGCUUUUUAUGCAUCUCCAGAGAGCUAUCACCAUUCUCAUUAAUCACAGAGACUAAACAACUCCUUUUCCAAAGCCAUAUAUUAUCUAACACUUGUUCUUUGCUACCUUGGCCUUCGGGGUCUUAUAUAUUCCAAAUGAAUGAAUUUAAGAUAACAAUUUUUUUAAAAUAAAAAGUCUUCUGGAGGGUUGCAUACCUUAUUGUUCCCCUUUAACUCAAAAUUGAUCAAAUAUAGCUUGCAGAAUGAGGAAAGGAAGGGACAGCUGCAGGUUUGGAUUAAUCACGAUGCUGAAGCUAGGGUUGCCAUAUUUUGAAGAGCAAAAAAGAGGACACAUUUGCUGACUUCUACUUUUAACUGUGGAUCACUAUGACGACUCUGCCCAUGAAAAAGAGGACAUGUCCUGGAAAAAGAGGACAUAUGGCAAGCUGGACUAAAUGAAGAGGGGAGAUGCUGGUUCCUCUCCAGUUCCUAUAGAAACUCUGCUAAUCUAAAUCUAAGGUCUAUCCCCCAACAUGCUGACAUGUCACCCACAUAAGUCACUGAUAAGAUGUUUUAUCCAAGAAAGGUCAAAAAAUGGUCUGUUCCCUACCAAUAAGAAGCUCCCAACCAUUGGCUGGGGUGUUAGGUCAUAGAAACAUUAGAAGAAUUAGAAGAUAUUCUAUCUUCUGAGGUAGAUGGUUGAAUGUGGACAUCCUCAUGCCUCGUACGUAAAGAGGAUGCCUGUUCAACAAAUGAGAAGCCAUUCUCUCUUCUGAAAACUAAGGUACGUAGAAAGGUCCAAAGGCUGGGUCUUCACAAGCACAUUUCCGUUACAGCAGGGACAGUGAACCAGUGACCUCCAUAUGUUGUUGGACUCCAAAACCCAUCAACCCCACCAGCCUGGUCAGUGGUCAGGAGUGAUUGGAGCUGUAGUUCAGCAGCAUUUGGAGGACCACAGCUCUCCCAUCCCUCUGUUACAAACGUGGUCCAACACCAGUGUAGCAUCAGUAAUGAGAUUUUCGCUGAGAUUGCGGCAUUGCCGGGGGUUGGACUAUAUGACCCAUGGGUCCCUUCCAGCUCUAUGAUUCUAUGAUCACUAAGCUGGAGAAUCUCCAGGCUCCACUGGAUCAAGAAGACUUCAUUUGCACUCUGAUCCUUAAUGGGCAGCUGUAAUUUUAGUCUAAGAUGGUGCUGUUAACUGGAAGGGGAAUAUGAGACGGCAGCAUCUUCUUGCUAUCUGUUUCCAAAUCUUUUAAACACUGGGCUACUCCUCCUUCAUGUCUGUGUUCCUUGAUCCAGAACACCCAGGCACUAGUUCCUUAAGUGACUUGGGGCACAGGACCAUGACACAAUUUUUCAUAAAAACUGAAUAUGUUCAUUGAUGCAAGUUAAGGCCAACUUUCAUAGGGAAAGUCACCCUGUAAACAAAGGUCCUGUGCUAAGUCUUAUGCAGAGUAGACCCAAUGAAGUUGAUGGGCAUGACUAAUUUAUGUGUAUUCAUUGCAAUGGCCCACUCUGAAUAAGAAUCCUGCUUGCGAGUUUCCAACAGGCAUCUGGUCAACUGUGAGAACAUUAUGCUGAACUUAAGGGGUCACUGGUCUUGUGCUGGUCCCAAGGGUUACAGUGCAGCGAGGUCCGAGUCUAGUCCGAGGUUGAGGGUGCGGUAUUGAGGCUGUCCGUCAAAGCUGAAGUGGGGUCCAAGACAGGGAGUUGGGUGAGGUCAGGAACUCUGGCAGAAGAGCAGGACAGGGUGCAGGCAGGAACAGGCUACCAAAAAUGUUGCUCCCGCAACCUGGGACUGGGCUGGCUGGCUUUUAUCUGCCCCAAGGCAUAGGGCAGCCCUGGUCCACAGGUGACUCGCCUCUCCUGGCCUGGAGGCAAGCACUCCUCCUGAGAGAACUUAGUUCCUUCCACCUCUCUGCCCUGAGCCUCUGCAGCUCAGGAGAGGCUGGAGGGUUACCGGACUCAGAGGCAACCUCAGCUCCCCCUGACGGGGCUGAGAGCAGGCAAUGGGUCCUCCAUCACCUCAGGAGCCAGAGCAGACUCAGCUGGUGCCUGCACCUGAGGAUCCAGCACAGGUGAGGACCCUUCAGUCUCAAGCCCCAGCCCCGGCUCAGCUGGUUUUGGAGGCGGGGACUCCUGUGCAGGCUGGGAUUCCUCAGGUUCCACCUCCAAGUCCGAAUCUCAGGCCAUCACAGGUCUGAUCUUAUUCUGUUAUGACUUAGCUGAGUAUAACACAAAGUAUUGUGUGUGUGUUUUUGAAAAAUCUGAAGUGUUGGGGGGGGUUUAGGUCAAAGGGAAAGGAGACCCCAAAACUUCCCCGGAGAAGCCCCUUAGAGAAGUGAGGCUGCAGUGAGAUUUUUUCAAUCUUUGUUUACUUCUUUUGCACCACUCCCCUUCCGUCCUCCUGAUCAGAAUGGCUUUACAAAGGACUCCACUCCACCGCCAACUUUGGCAGAAGGCUUGGAAGCACACCUCCCUCUCACCAUUCCUUUAUUACUUUUACAGCCUUUCCCUACUAUCACGGCACUUUUAUGACGAAAGGAGCGAUUGCCUCACUCUUGAUCAAGUCCAAGAGCAACCCUCGGGGAUGCAUAUAACUUUUCACAAUAUUCUUAACAGCGGUUUCUCACGUAUUCCUGGGUGGGCAGCACUUGCUAGCAACUCCCCCAGUGCCGUUUUAUGGAAGGAAAUGUGCAUUCUGGUUUGGGUAAGGGAAAACAAAGAGACAGACACACACAGAGAGAAAGAGAGAGAUCCCUUCUUCAUAGCACCUCCCACGCAGCACCACGCACAAAUCCUUUCACCCAUCUGCCCCCACAUGUCUUAACUCUCUGCAUUUUGUUUUAGAGACAUUUCCCUCCCCCCCUCCCCAAUGCCCAGGUUCCAUCCUGAACCAAGUAACAAGCUUAAAGCGAUACCUUCGUUUCCUUCUAGGAAUUGUCAGCAUGCAUUAUUGCCUAGAAUGCAGUGCUUAAUCAUGUCUUCUGCACUCCUCUAAGUGUUGCGUGUGUGUGAGAGAGAGAGAGAGAGAGAGAGAGAGAAAGUAUUCAGUUCAUCCGUGAUUUCUGCUCCACUGGAGGUGUGAUGCUCCAUUUAGGGAGAGUGAGAUGAAGCGUUGGUCUUGACCAAAGGAAGAAGAUUUCGUUAAACGUUGCAAGUAUUCGAAAAAGGAUGAAAACGGGAAAUUUUCGGUCUUGAACUGAGGAAUACCUGGCAGAGAUUCACAAUGGACACCUCUACCCAGCCUUUGGCUUACCAGGCAGAGGGACUUCUCGGUAGUGGCGCCCGUCCUGUGGAACACCCUCCCACCAGAUGUCAAAGAGAACAACUACUACUAGACUUUUAGAAGACAUCUGAAGGCAGCCCUGUUUAGGGAAGCUUUUAAUGUUUGAUGCAUUAUUGUAUUUUAAUAUUUUGCUGGAAGCCACCAAGAGUGGCUGGGGAAGCCCAUCCAGAUGGGCAGGAUCUAAAUUAUUAUUAUUAUUAUCAAUGAAAGGGUGCCCGCAGGGGCAGCACAUUCCAUAUUGCCGCUCGAGGUGAAGCAGGAACAGCUGCCCUGCUGGUGCAUGAGGGGCUGGACUAAGGAGGAAUGGUGGGAGCCGCCCCCUCCCUUUUUCUGAACCUUCCCAAGGGCAGGAGGACAGCAUUGAUUUAGAACAGUGGUUGCAGAGGGGCAUAGUCCAGAGGGGGAAAGCUGGGAAACACUGGGUGAGGAACAGCUAAAAGAGGAAACACCAGGAGAUAGCUGGGAGAUUCAGUCUCCUUGGACAGCAUUCCUGACACACACACCCCUUUGCCCAAGACUAGACAGACUUGGAGAGUGAUAGAACAGAAAGUGCAAUGGCAACAAGCUCAGAUUACAUGACAUAGGAGUGGCAUAGAUUAAUGGGGAUGGAGGGGGUAGACCUUUACUGGGAGCAACGCCAUUUCUAGAAGAUAUAUGCAUUCCUUUGUCUCUCGCUGUGAUUAUUAAAGAAACAAACUGGUAAGAACGCUCCUUUCGCUUGAUCUGCCUAUCCACUGCCACCGGGGGAGGGAUCUGAUUCCCCGACGCCUGACAUGGUGCCACUGCUGCCAGCAUUCCCACUGGCACCAUACCUGCUGCCUCCAACAGCUGCACUGCCCACUCUGCAGCUGCCGUGCAUCCUGCCACAUCCACCGCUGGAGCAGGGCUGAUAUCAGGCAAAGGUGCACCGAUUUUGGGUGAGAUCUUGCCCCGAAUUGCAUGAGGUAUCACAAGCACUGCAAGAUCUCAUGGCGAAUGGAUGCAAUCUCGCCCAAAACCAGUGCUGUUUGUGGUGGUGCUUGUACGCCACUGGUAGAGGUGGCAGGGCAGGCAGGGCACACACAAAGCACUGCCUCAGGGACUUCUGCCAUCUGAGGCUGUGACCUCACACUGCCUAAUGGCUGAGCCGGCUCCAGACACCAGGGACAAAUAGCCAGCAAAGAUCCCUUGCACCAACAGGCUGCAACAGAUUAUCUGAUAAUCCCUGACCCGUAUGAAAGCUUCUGGAUUAGGCUAGUUUAGGAAGCCACCUUGCCGACAAAGGUCCAUAUAGUUAAAGCUAUGGUUUUCCCAGUAGUGAUGUAUGCAAGUGACAACUGGACCAUAAAGAAGGCUGAUCGCCGAAGAAUUGAUGCUUUUGAAUUCCAGCCUUACUGGGAGAGGCCAGGGAUUGACCCUGAGAACAGAAGAAUAUAAGACUUUUUGCAUGUGAUGCAGAUGUUCUGCUGUUGAGCCCUGGCCAUUUCUACAUAGCUUAUUGCCCUGAUCAAUAAGAAGACAGGUUUUUUGCUGACCACAAAUUGCUUUUGUCCUCCAGGGGGGAAGGAUUAGGAAAAAGGAGGCCUGAUUUAACCCCGGCACUUGGUUGCUACUUCUCUGCAUUUGGUAUCUCAACCAUGCUAGCUGUAUCUAUAUCCAGGAACCACGGAGGUGGGCAUUGUGUAUAGGUGUGUUUUUGUGUUACUUCACACACCUGUACUGAUGGGCAAACUGUACACUGUCAGGGGAAGCAACUGGUCACUGAAUAGUUAUUAUUACCCUGACCCAUGGAAAUCUGCCCCUUGAAGUUUGCCUUAAGAAACAGCCAAUUUGAUCAUUACUUCAAGUCAAGUUGCUGUGGUCUUACUUGAACCUUCUCUGUUUUGUGUGACCUAGAACAACUAUUCCUUAUGAAUCCACUCUUGCAAGCCGGCUAAUGCAAAUGCACUGAUUCUUUGUCUGCAUAAUGUAUGCCAUAUGUAUCAUUUGGAUCUCCUUGGUGCAGAAACGAGAACUUCGUUUUUGUUUUUGAAUGGAAUAGAUGAGUCUCCAGCAUUGAGAGGAGGCCCUGCUGUUUCGGGGGCCACAAAGCACGGCCGUUCCCUUUGGCUCUGCUUCAUUAGCCCAUCUGCAUUUCAGCCCUGCGGCAGAUAACAAUCUCCUUUCCACUGUGCUGAAAAAAGAACAGUCAACUGGGAAUACAAGGCUGAGCUCUAAGUAUAGAUUUGGGUUCCCCUGCCCGGAUCUUAAUGGAGCAAGGAGUUAGUGGCAGACAAUCUUCGCGCUCUUACCUGCUGAAUCAUCAGAACUCUCACACUUUGGUAAUUGAGGAAAACAUAUAAAUACUGCAUAGAGAUCUCCUUGGGCUGUGUUCGUAAAACAGUUAUGUUCUGUUAAAGUGCUUUUCUUGUACAGGUUAAUCUCUCAAAACAAAAGCUGGGAAAUAACAGCAACCAAACCAAGCUGUAUUUCUGCUACACGAUAAACCCUCUCUUUGCUUGUCUGCAAAUAAAUGAUUCCCAGAGGCUCUCCUAUUCAGAAGCGGAGAGAACCUUUUUUUAAAAAAAGGGAACUGAAACCAUAAAAUUGGAACAAGAAAUUACUCUCAAGCCCCAUAUCCCCUCCCUUUCAACCUACCAGCGGGCACCUAUCACCCUCACAGACCUUCCAAGUGUCCCUAUUUUCCAGGGACAGUCCUGGAUUUAUGGAAGCCAUCCCAGUUUCUGAUUUGAUCCCAGAGUGUCCCGCUUUUCCAUGUUGUGUUGUUUAGUCGUUUAGUUGUGUCCGACUCUUCGUGACCCCAUGGACCAGAGCACGCCAGGCACUCCUGUCUUCCACUGCCUCCCGCAGUUUGGUCAAACUCAUGCUGGUAGCUUUGAAAACACUGUCCAACCAUCUCGUCCUUUGUCAUCCCCUUCUCCUUGUGCCCUCCAUCUUUCCCAACAUCAGGGUCUUUUCCAGGGAGUCUUCUCUUCUCAUGAGGUGGCCAAAGUCUUGGAGCCUCAGCUUCAGGAUCUGUCCUUCCAGUGAGGCACUCAGGGCUGAUUUCCUUAAGAAUGGAUAGGUUUGAUCUUCUUGCAGUCCAUGGGACUCUCAAGAGUCUCCUCUAGCACCAUAAUUCAAAAGCAUCAAUUCUUUGGAGAUCUCUUUUCCAUAGGAUGUCCCUAUUUUCAUCAGAGAAAUGUUGGGGGGUAUGGAGUUAUGCAACUCCCAGGCAAAGGAGCUAAGUAACUAUACAACCUUUAGGAGACAUCUGAAGGCAGCCCUGUAUAGUUUUAUCAUGUUUUAAAAUAUGUUAGAAGCUGCCCAGAGUGGCUGUGGCAACCCAGUCAGAUGGGUGGGGUAUAAAUAGUGUUACGGAAAUGUUGGGGGGGGGGAUCUUUAAAGUUUUUACAUGUUACAAAUGUUAUGCCUGAAUGUAUCCUUUCGACUUGACAGCUCAGGGAAGAUACCUAGCUUUAUAAAUUCAUAGAAAAUCCAUACUUUUAACCGACUCUCCUCAUUCCAACUCCAUUUUAACCCUUAAAGAAAGGUGGAUUUGGGCUCCACCUCCUCCAUGAACCAAGAAGCAGGAAGUCACUGUAGGCAGCAGGAACAGGGUAUCCCGCCAUAAUUCCUCAAGCAUGAGAGCACAUACAUGGCACCCCACACGGGAGUGACCAAGGGGGCAACAAUAGGCAUCUGCAGAGGCUGUUUAGCAAGUCAGGUGUUCUGAAAGCCCAUCUCCAGACAAGUCUUCUUGAGGGUAAUGAUAUGUAAAGAGUUUUAUUGUUCUUUCGGUGAUAGGUACUUAAGAGGUAUUGGGAAAGGUGUCUGAUAAACUGACCUAAUGUUGAACUUGUGUAACCCUUGUAUAGUAAAAGUAAAGGGACCCCUGACCAUUAGGUCCAGUCGCGGACAACUCUGGGGUUGCGGCGCUCAUCUCACUUUACAGGCCAAGGGAGCCGGCGUACAGCUUCUGGGUCAUGUGGCCAGCAUGACUAAGCCGCUUCUGGUGAACCAGAGCAGCACACCGAAACACCGUUUACCUUCCCACUGGAGCGGUACCUAUUUAUCUACUUGCACUUUGACGUGCUUUCAAACUGCUAGGUUGGCAGGAGCAGGGAACGAGCAAUGGGAGCAAGGACUGUCGCGGGGAUUUGAACCACCGACCUUCUAAUCAGCAAGCCCUAGGCCCUGUGGUUUAACCCACAGCGCCACCUACGUCCCUUGUAUACCCCUCCCCAUUUGUGACAUGCUAGUGAUGUAGUGAUGAUGUAUCAAUGAUGCUGCUUGAAGUGUAUUCUGGGGGAAAGAGGGAAGUUUUAAAAGAGGAUGUCACCCUAUGCUCGGGGUUCUUACUUCAGGGAGCCAAUGUGUUGUAGUGGUUAAGAGUGGUAGACUCGUAAUCUGGUGAACCGGGUUCGCUUCCCCGCUCCUCCACAUGCAGCUGCUGGGUGACCUUGGGCCAGUCACACUUCUCUGAAGUCUCUCAGCCUCACUCACCUCACAGAGUGUUUGUUGUGGGGGAGGAAGGGAAAGGAGAAUGUUAGCCGCUUUGAGACUCCUUUGGGUAGUGAUAAAGCAGGAUAUCAAAUCCAAACUCUUCUUCUUCUUCCUAUGGGGACGUGUUGCACAACAAUAAAUAUCAUGGUCUACUUUCUUGGCUGGAACUUCCUUCUUUUACUGACCGCACGGACCCGCGGGGGACUUGCACCCUGAUGCGCUGGGCUGUUGAGUAGUCUCUCACCCUGGAAUUUCCCCCCUUAACAAUAGUAAAACUAUUAUUGUGGAAUAGGACGUCCCUAGUUUCAUCGAAGAAAUGUUGGAGGGUAUGCUCUAUGCCUUGCCUUUAUCCUCUGUCAGGCUGAGCAGCUCUGGGUGCUGCGCAUGCUCUCGCCACACUCUGACUUCCAGUCUGACUGGCUCACCUUCCAGUUGGACCUUGGCACGCCAGAGACAAAGCCUUCCUUCCCUUUCCUCACAAUUACGCCCCUUCGUUGAUUUUGUCUCUGUCCAAACAUGUUUGUGAAACGCAGUGAAAACCUGCAACGCUUUGGUGAACAUAGACAACUGCAGGCAGAGACCAGGGACAAUGGCUCUUGUUUCUUCCCAACUUCACCUCUCCUGGGGGAAGGGAGCUGACUAUUGUCUGUCUCCAGUCUUUGGUGAAUGAGGCAUUUUCCUGCCUAGCAGUCGCCUGGCUUUCUGAAAUGAUUCAGGAUCUUUGAUGGGAUGAAAGGCACUCUAUAAAUCCCAGUUUAUUACUAUUAAGCGGGGCUCCGAAUGAGUAUUGCCCCUGCCUUGGAGGCGACUCCCAUCUGCGGGCUGCUUAUUUGUCUAUAAAUCAUAGAAACCUACAUUUCUGGGGUGUUGUGUUGUUUUUUUCUAGCUUUGUAUAUGAAAUAGGAAGCUUCUGUGACAUUCUCUGAAUCACCAACAGCUUCCCCACAGUUUCUCAAAGGAAAGUUACCAAUAUAUUCAUUUCCUACUGUGAAAAUACUUGCAGUCCUGAGCACUAGGAGGAGGGGGGAUGGAUGGCUUUGAACAUACUUUCGCUUUCUUUGUUUUUGUUUUUGCCAAGUUAUUCUAUAAUAUCCUCCAGGCAUUCUUUUAACAAAAAUAAAUGCACGCUAUUUUCCUCCCAUUUUGCAGUGAGCGUCCCUGACACCGGGGCCUCCUUUGCAGCUAUACUUUUUGCUGAGAAGAUCCGGAAGCGUGAAUUUUCUUUUAUUAGUUCGUUCAGUGGUGUUGCGGUCUUCAGCUAACAUAUUAAUAACUGCAAUAACUUCUGUGUAAUUAUCUUAUAAAUAUGAUGCAACCCCAUUUGUCUUGAUGGCACCGGGAUUGGGAUGGCAGGGAGACACGCAGGCUUGCAUUGAAUGCAGUACUAAGCCAAUCCUUCUGUUAGCGUGAGGUUUUAUACUUCUGCAUUGGGACUCCCCCAAAUCUCCUCCCCUGUGCACCCCCUAAAUUUGUUCUGGGGUUUUCCCCAACCCUCUAGAGCAGGCAUGUGGUUCCCACAGGUGGAAGAGAGUGGAGAAAUUUCAUUGCACUACUGCCAUAUUUUUUUUGGUAUAGCUAUAUUGGUGUAAGAAUACUGGCAAUGAUUGCUGGUAUUCACAAGUCUGGCAAACUCCUCUUCUAAAAGAUAUUUCCCACAAGUUGAAAGUAGCAUCAUGGAUCCUUUAGUUUAGAAUCAUGCAUUACAGGGGGUUGGACUAGAUGGAAGGGGUCUCUUCCAACUCUACGAUUCUGUGAUUAUAAGACACCAAUUUUUUCACAAUAUGGCAUGACUUUAUUUUAUUUACAAGUGAAGAAGCCCAUGGCCAUAGGUUCCCUCCUGUUUAUGUCAAGGUGUGGAUUAUGUGAAAGUACAUGUAGGCAGACAUAGGCUCUUUAUAUAUAAAUUGGAUUAAUGUUAAUUGGGGAGAAAGGGAAACAUUGUUUCAUUAUUAGUUUUUUUCAUUUAGGGACUCCUCGAGGAAAUGCCUACUUCCAUGGAAAACAGUGUAACUCUUUUGUCUUUUCCUGCUGGAUCUUACGUCACGUAUUAUUUUGGUGCAGGCCUUUUUCAUUAUUUCAUUCCAUUUGCAUGUAAUUUAUUCCACCUUUUGUCAUAAUUUACAAAUUCUAAUAAUAACGAAUAGCGGCAAUGCUGGUCAGUUUUCUUCACCGGAACCGCUUUCAUGAGCAAAUCUUUUUCCUUCCUAAAAAAUGAUGCUCUGUUGUGUGUGUGUGUGUCUUAAUUGAUGUGGGAAUGAUAAGCGAAAGCCCCCACUAGGAGUCAGUGUUGUGUCACUGUCUAAAGCAGGCUGCCCUCCCUUCUCCUUCAGCGUGAGUUAUCCAGAAGGCAGAUGAGAGGAGCAGAGGGGUGCAGCGCGCAGGUCAGCUCCCAAAUAAACACAUCAAAGCGCCAAAAAACAUACCGCAUCCUGAUCUUUAGAGGCCGGUUUAUCUGAAUCUCACUUGAACUGUACUGAAAAGCAUUUCCACUGAAGCGGUGAGCUACGCCGCCGCAAUUGACCCACGUCUAAGGUGGGCUCUGCUCACCAUUCUUCCCCUUCAUUUCCUUUUCUUCCAGCGCUGCAUUUCCCCUUCAUCGGCCUUGGAUCCUAAUCAGAUGCAGUUCUUGGUCUAAUGAAAGCAGAGGUUGCACCUAACAAGCUGCAAGCCUUAUCUGCUUUUGGGAAGAGUCCCUCUGUAAGGUGCCUGGGGAGAAGGAGGGUCUCUCGGCAGAACAGGCUUCUCCAACUUAGUGCCCUCCAGAGGUUUUAGAUUACAACUCGUGUCAGCCCCCAAACCAGCAUAACAUGCUGGUUAAGAACUUAUGGAAGCCGCCAAGAGUGGCUGGGGAGGCCCAGCCAGAUGGGCGGGGUAUAUAUAAUAAAUUAUUAUUAUUAUUAUUAUUAAGAAGAGCACUACUGGAUCAGGCCAAAGUCCCAUCCAGUCCAGCAUUGGUUUCUUAAAAAGGUAAAGGGACCCCUGACCAUUAGGUCCAGUCGUGGCUGACUCUGGGGUUGCGGCACUCAUCUCGCUUUAUUGGACGAGGGAGCCGGCGUACUGCUUCCGGGUCAUGUGGCCAGUAUGACUAAGCCACUUCUGGCGAACCAGAACAGCGCACAGAAACGCUGUUUACCUUCCCGUCGGAGUGGUACCUAUUUAUCUACUUGCACUUUGACGUGCUUUCGAACUGCUAGGUUGGCAGGAGCAGGGACCGAGCAACGGGAGCUCAUCCUGUCGUGGGGAUUCAAACCACCGACCUUCUGAUUGGCAAGCCCUAGCUUCUGUGGUUUAACCCACAGCACCACCCGCGUCCCUCCAUUGGUUUCUUAACAGUGGCUAAAUAGAUGCUCAUGGGAAGCCAAACUGAUGUAACAGUAAUCUUUCCAUCCACCUGUGAUUCCCUGCUACUGGCAGUCUGACAUAGAGCAUACUCAUCAUGCUAUCAGCCACUGAAAGCCUUAACCUCCAUGAAUUUGUCUAUUCCUCUUUUAAAGCCAUCCAGAGUUGGCCACUGUCACUACCUCUUAUGGGAGCCAACUACUUCUACUGCCAUUGUUGUUGUUGUUUUCGUUGUCAGCUUUCUUCACACAUUCUAGCUUGUCAAUAUCCUUCUUAAACUGUGGAUCCCAAAACUGGACACAAUAUCCCACGUGUGGUAAGGCAGAAUAGAGCAGCACUAUUACUUCCCUUGAUCCGGACAAUAUACCUCUCUUGAUGCAGCCUAGAACCGCAUUUAAUUUUUUGUUUGUUUGUUUUGAGUUUGAGUGUUUUGCUGCUGCAGCAGCAUCGCACACUGUUCAUGCAUGUUAAGCUUGUGUUCUGCAUCCUUUUCACAUGUGCUGAUGUCAAGCCAGGUGUCCCCCAUCCGAUAUUUAUGCACCUGAUUAAUAUUCUUCCCUAAGUGUAGAAGCUUACAUUUGUCCCUAUUGAAAUUCGCUUUUGUUGGUUUUGGAACAAAACAACAAACAUAUUCAUUAUUCAUGGCAUUUUGGGGGGAGGGGGCCGGGCGAUAAAUGAAAAUUGAACCAAAGGGACAUCAUUUGGUUUGAUUUCUCAUUCUUUCCAGUAGACAUGCAUCUCGCUACUUUUCCAGAGAGUCAGCGGAGACAUUCAUCUGCCAGCAAUCAAUCAUAGUGAAACUGAGUAAUGUGCGUUCCUGUAGGGGCUGAGUGGAAACAGGCAGUGGCAAGAUGUUUGGGACCCUGAUUAGUUCUGAGGAUAGACUCCUUGGUAUAUGGCUUUGCUAUAGAUCACAGUGAAAUAAUGAUUAAAAAAAAGUGAGAGAAAGAAUCAUCUUACUGUCCAGAAAACAAAACAAUAGUUCCUCUGUAAUAAUGAUGUUCAGGGGAUGCCCAGCCAGUGAUACCCCAAAUUGGAUACCCCAAGAUAGGAAGGUGUAUUCAGGAAAGAUCAGCAGCAUGCCUUGUUAAAGUCUCACUUACUGCCUGCAUUAUAUUUGCGGUCCUUUGCUUCCUCAUGACAUCCUGUCUGUCACUGCGAUCUCUUUUGCUUCCCAGGUGAUGGAGGUUUGGGGGAUGCAGCAAAAGAUUUCAGGGAGGUCACUGUUAGUUGCCCCUUGCAUGGCUCAGGUGCAUAUCUUGUACAGUGGUACCUCGGGUUAAGAACAGCUCAGGUUACCUGUUGUGACAGGAUACCUGCUGCAGGUUACUCACUCUUGCAAAGGUAAUUUUCAAAAGAUACAAAUUUAAUUUCCAGAGCAGCUACACCUGAAUGACAGUGGUACCUUGGGUUAAGUACUUAACUUGUUCUGGAGGUCCGUUCUUAACCUGAUACUGUUCUUAACCUGAGGUACCAUUUUAGCUAAUGGGGCCUCCCCCUGCCGCUGUGCCACCGCCGUGUGAUUUCUGUUCUCAUCCUGAAGCAAAGUUCUUAACCCGAGGUACUAUUUCAGGGUUAGCAGAGCCUGUAACCUGAAGCGUAUGUAACCUGAAGUAUAUGCAACCCGAGGUACCACCGUAUCGACCAAGAGCUGUGGGUUCAGUACAGUGGUACCCUGGUUGUCAAAUUUAAUCCGUUCCGGGAGUCCGUUCGACUCCCAGAACCAUUCGAAAACCAAGUUGCGGCUUCCGAUUGGCUGCAGGAGCUCUGAAAAAUGUUCGCAAACUGGAACACUCACUUCUGGUUUUGCAGCAUUUGAGAAUCAAGGUACCACUGUAUUGUGAAUCCAGUUCUGUGGGGCUCCCUCCCAGCUGAGAUCAGGCAUGGCUCCCCUGCCUCUUGAAUGUUCAGGAACUAUAAGUCAUUGAGAUGAAAUAAGCAGAUGUAUUUCAGGACCAUAUCCUUCUUAGGGAUAGGUGCUAUGUAGAGUAUGGGAAUAUGCACAGAAAUUGCUCUGCUCACCAGGUACCCCUAUUCUCCUCUGGGUCUGGGUUCCCAGAUUAGGGCUGCCAGAUUUUGAAAAGCAAAAAAGAGGACACUAUGACAACUCUCAUUUUAAAUACCCCUACUACAUGUAGAGUGACGCGGGUGGCGCUGUGGGUUAAACCACAGAGCCUAGGACUUGGCGAUCAGAAGGACGGCAGUUCGAAUCCCCACGACGGGGUGAGCUCCCGUUGCUCGGUCCCUGCUCCUGCCAACCUAGCAGUUCAAAAGCACAUCAAAGUGCAAGUAGAUAAAUAGGUACUGCUCCAGCGGGAAGGUAAACGGCGUUUCUGUGCGCUGCUCUGGUUCGCCAGAAGUGGCUUAGUCAUGCUGGCCACAUGACC